AUUCCAGCUCCAAUAGCGUAUAUUAAAGUUGUUGCAGUUAAAAAGCUCGUAGUUGGAUUUCUGGUGGGGACGUUUGGCCGGCCGUAACGGUUUGCGCUGAAAUGUUCUUCGCCAUCCUUGACGAAUACUGGUUCGCCAUUAAGUUGUGUGGGCUUGGAGUCGUCAUCGUUUACUGUGAAAAAAUUAGAGUGUUCAAAGCAGGCUUAUGCCGUUGAAUACAUUAGCAUGGAAUAAUAAGAUAGGACCCUGGUACUAUUUUGUAGGUUUGCGUACCUAGGUAAUGAUUAAUAGGGACAGUUGGGGGUAUUUGUAUUCCGUUGUCAGAGGUGAAAUUCUUGGAUUUACGGAAGACAAACUACUGCGAAAGCAUUUACCAAGGAUGUUUUCAUCG
rnacentral:rRNA from 1 species